rnacentral:rRNA from 1 species
GAUGAACGCUGGCGGCGUGCCUAAUACAUGCAAGUCGAGCGAACGGACGAGAAGCUUGCUUCUCUGAUGUUAGCGGCGGACGGGUGAGUAACACGUGGAUAACCUACCUAUAAGACUGGGAUAACUUCGGGAAACCGGAGCUAAUACCGGAUAAUAUUUUGAACCGCAUGGUUCAAAAGUGAAAGACGGUCUUGCUGUCACUUAUAGAUGGAUCCGCGCUGCAUUGGCUAGUUGGUAAGGUAACGGCUUACCAAGGCAACGAUGCAUAGCCGACCUGAGAGGGUGAUCGGCCACACUGGAACUGAGACACGGUCCAGACUCCUACGGGAGGCAGCAGUAGGGAAUCUUCCGCAAUGGGCGAAAGCCUGACGGAGCAACGCCGCGUGAGUGAUGAAGGUCUUCGGAUCGUAAAACUCUAUUAUUAGGGAAGAACAUAUGUGUAAGUAACUGUGCACAUCUUGACGGUACCUAAUCAGAAAGCCACGGCUAACUACGUG